AUGCCAUGGUGAGGAAAUUUCUGCAACAACUCCUUGAACCUCUCCCAUGCCUCGUACAAAGAGUCAUCUUCAAAUUAUUGGAAGGAAGCUAUCUCCUUUCGGAGCUU